rnacentral:rRNA from 1 species
CCUACGGGAGGCUGCAGUGAGGAAUAUUGGUCAAUGGACGGAAGUCUGAACCAGCCAUGCCGCGUGCAGGAAGACGGCUCUAUGAGUUGUAAACUGCUUUUGUACAAGGGUAAACCUGAAUACGUGUAUUCAGCUGAAAGUACUGUACGAAUAAGGAUCGGCUAACUCCGUGCCAGCAGCCGCGGUAAUACGGAGGAUCCAAGCGUUAUCCGGAUUUAUUGGGUUUAAAGGGUGCGUAGGCGGAUUGAUAAGUUAGAGGUGAAAUGUCCGAGCUUAACUCGGGAACUGCCUUUAAUACUGUUGAUCUAGAGAGUAGAUGCGGUAGGCGGAAUGUAUGGUGUAGCGGGGAAAUGCUUAGAGAUCAUACAGAACACCGAUUGCGAAGGCAGCUUACCAAUCUAUAUCUGACGUUGAGGCACGAAAGCGUGGGGAGCAAACAGGAUUAGAUACCCUAGUAGUC